rnacentral:rRNA from 1 species
UACGUAGGUGGCAAGCGUUGUCCGGAUUUACUGGGCGUAAAGAGCGCGCAGGCGGUCGUUCAAGUCGCGUGUGAAAGCCCCCGGCUCAACUGGGGAGGGUCACGCGAUACUGAUCGACUCGAAGGCAGGAGAGGGAAGUGGAAUUCCCGGUGUAGUGGUGAAAUGCGUAGAUAUCGGGAGGAACACCGGUGGCGAAGGCGGCGACCUGGGUAGAUACUGAC